AGUGAACGCUGGCGGUAGGCCUAACACAUGCAAGUCGAACGGCAGCACAGUAAGCGCUUGCUCUUACGGGUGGCGAGUGACGGACGGGUGAGGCAUACAUCGGAAUCUACUUUUUCGUGGGGGAUAACGUAGGGCAACUUACGCUACUACCUCAUACGACCUACGGCUGAAAGCAGAAGAUCUUCGGACCUUGCGCGAUUGAAUGAGCCGAUGUCGGAUUAGCUAGUUGGCGGGGUAAAGGCACACCAAGGCGACGAUGCGUAGCUGGUCUGAGAGGAUGAUCAGCCACACUGGAACUGAGACACGGUCCAGACUCCUACGGGAGGCAGCAGUGGGGAAUAUUCCACAAUGGGCGAAAGCCUGAUGCAGCCACACCGCGUGAGUGAAGAAGGUCUUCGGAUUGUAAAACCCUGUUGUUAGGGAAGAAAAUAAGCGGAUUAAUCCGCCGCUGUCCUGACGGUACCCAAACAAUAAGCACCGGCUAACUUCGUG
rnacentral:rRNA from 1 species